rnacentral:misc_RNA from 1 species
AACCUAGCACACCUGCGGUGUGUACCUGCGGAAGGAUCAUUAAAAAGAGUGUGUACCCCUCUGUAAAAUGAGUGGGUUACCUCCCGUCCUUUGUUGACCUCUUAGGAGGUUAUUUUGAACUUUCUGCUUCGGUGGGGUUAAACCUACCGGAACACCCUCAAAUUCUUAUCAUUUAAAAAUUGUUCAGUCUGAUUUUUGUUAAUAAAAACAAAAAACUUUUAACAAUGGAUCUCAGAUCGG